AGUUCGAUUAUGGCUCAGAUUGAACGCUGGCGGGAUGCUUUACACAUGCAAGUCGAACGGCAGCACGGACUUCGGUCUGGUGGCGAGUGGCGAACGGGCAGUAAUGUAUCGAACGUGCCUAGUAGCGGGGAUAACUACGCGAAAGCGCAGCUAAUACCGCAUACGCCCUUCGGGGGAAAGCGGGGAUUCCCGGGCCUCGCACUAUUAGAGCGGCCGAUAUCGGAUUAGCUAGUUGGUGGGGUAACGGCUCACCAAGGCGACGAUCCGUAGCUGGUUUGAGAGGACGACCAGCCACACUGGGACUGAGACAUACGGCCCAGACUCCUACGGGAGGCAGCAGCGGGGAAUUUGGACAAUGGGGGAAACCCUGAUCCAGCCAUCCCGCGUGUGCGAUGAAGGCCUUCGGGUUGUAAAGCACUUUUGGCAGGAAGUUGGAACGGCACGGGAUAAUACCCUCAGCAACCGACGGUACCUGCAGAAUAAGCACCGGCUAACUACGUGCCAGCAGCCGCGGUAAUACGUAGGGUGCAAGCGUUAAUCGAAUUACUGGGCGUGAAGCGUGCAGGCGGUUCGGAAAGAAAGAUGUGAAAUCCCAGAGCUUAACUUUGGGACUGCAUUUUUAACUACCGGAGCUAGAGUGUGUCAGCGGGAAAGGAAACUGCAGUGUGGUGUAGAUAUGCGGAGGAACACCGAUGGCUAAGGCAGCCCCUGAUACAACACUGACGCUUCAUGCACGAAAGCGUAGAUGCCAAAAGCAGAUCAGAUACCCUGGUAGUCCACGCCCUAAACGAUGUCAACUAGCCGUUGGGGCCUCGGCCUGGUAGCGCAGCUAACGCGUGAAGUUGACCGCCUGGGGAGUACGGUCGCAAGAUUAAAACUCAAAGGAAUUGACGGGGACCCGCACAAGCGGUGGAUGAUGUGGAUUAAUUCGAUGCAACGCGAAAACCUUACCUACCCUUGACAUGUCUGGAAUCCCGAAGAGAUUUGGGAGUGCUCGCAAGAGAACCGAACACAGGUGCUGCAUGGUUGUCGUCACCUGUGUCGAGAUGUUGGGUUAAGUCCUGCAACGAGCGCAACCCUUGUCAUUAGUUGCUACGAAAGGGCACUCGACGAGACUGCCGGUGACAAACCGGAGGAAGGUGGAUGACGUCGUCCUCAUGUGGCCCUUAUGGUAGUCACACGUCAUACAAUGGUCGGGACAGAGUGGUCGCCAACCCGCGAGGGGAGCCAUAACCCAGAAACCCGAUCGUAGUCCGGAUCGCAGUUCGCAACUCGACUGCGUGAAGUCGGAAUCGCUAGUAAUCGCGGAUCAGCAUGUCGCGGUGAAUACGUUCCCGGUCUUGUACACACCGCCCGCUACACCAUGGGGAGUGGGUUUUACCAGAAGUAGUUAGCCUAACCGUAAGGAGGGCGGAUUACCACGGUAGGAUUCAUGACUGGGGUGAAGUCGUAACAAGGUAA
rnacentral:rRNA from 1 species